rnacentral:misc_RNA from 1 species
UCUCCGUAGGUGAACCUGCGGAGGGAUCAUUACAGAGUUCAUGCCCUACCGGGUAGAUCUCCCACCCUAUGUUAUUAUUACUUUGUUGCUUUGGCGGGCCGUUAGGCUCCGGCCCGACUACCGGCCCCGGCUGGUAAGCGCCCGCCAGAGGACCCAAAACCCUGAAUAUUAGUGUCGUCUGAGUACUAUAUAAUAGUUAAAACUUUCAACAACGGACCUCUUGGUUCUG